rnacentral:rRNA from 1 species
UUACGGGUCGCUCCAGUGGGGAAUAUUGCACAAUGGAGGAAACUCUGAUGCAGCAACGCCGCGUGGAGGAUGACACUUUUCGGAGCGUAAACUCCUUUUAUAUAGGAAGAAGAUGACGGUACUAUAUGAAUAAGCGCCGGCUAACUCCGUGCCAGCAGCCGCGGUAAUACGGAGGGCGCAAGCGUUACUCGGAAUCACUGGGCGUAAAGAGCGUGUAGGCGGAUUAAAAAGUCAGAAGUGAAAUCCUAUAGCUUAACUAUAGAACUGCUUCUGAAACUCUUAAUCUAGAAUAUGGGAGAGGUAGAUGGAAUUUCUGGUGUAGGGGUAAAAUCCGUAGAGAUCAGAAGGAAUACCGAUUGCGAAGGCGAUCUACUAGAACAUUAUUGACGCUGAGACGCGAAAGCGUGGGGAGUAAACAGGAUUAGAUACCCCGGUAGUC